UCCUCCCCCAGCGAAGCUCCGCUUCGAGUAGGAUUCACGUUGGCGAAAUGACGUAGGGUGUGACGUUCGAGGCUUCGCCUCGGGCUACUGCUUCGAAAUAUGGGUUCAGUAUUGGCGGGAGAUUUUGACUAUAAAGAUGUCCAGUAUACGAUCACAACCUUGUGGUAUAUUCAAUAUACCACUAGUCUGUGAUCGUAGUAGUUUGAGCAUUGCAUUUUCUGUAGUAUCAAUCGAAAUAUCACGUUCAUUAUUCAUUUCCCCUUUUACAAAAUCAGUUCUAUCAUUCUGCCAAAAAAAUUCAAUAACCACUGUCCAGAACACUUUAAUGGCUAUUAAAUUAAUAACUCCUUCUCAGUUAUCAUGCAGUGUGGGUCGGCUUGGCGCUACCUAAAUCCGAUCCGUCUGCUUUCUAGAUUCUGGAUCGUCCAACCAAAUCAUCGGAUUUCCAAUAUCUUUUCACCAGAAUGACCAAUCACGCGUUCCACUGUCCAUUUCUCUCCCUUAUCUUUUCACCAGAAUGACCAAUCACACGUUCCACUGUCCAUUUCUCUCCCUGCGCUAGGCCAAUCACGGACAGGCUAGCGACGCUCCGAAUGCGGAAUGGAUUUAAACUGUAGAACAACACACACGUUUUUGGCAUUCCUGAAAACGACUCUGUAAGAUGUCUACUAAGAAGCAUCGAGCCAUGGGGUCUGAGGAGUGGGUGAGCCGCCUGAAGGCAUUUGCCUCUUCUGGCACUUGGCCCUCCAGUGCAUGGAACAGGCCAUCUCCGAAACAGGCCAAGUGGCACAACCUCUACCAGCAGAUUGAGUAGUGUCCCACGAUGCUGCGUGGGCAGACCUCUAUCUUAAGGGUAGCGCAGACAUGUACCUGUGGCUUUCACCCCCAGCAGCCCUGCAGCUACCUCAGCCUCCACCUCUGCUGCGCCUGCACGGAGCCCUGGGAGGCCUGCAUUGACGCUGGCGAUGUUUGAGAAAGCGCGGUUCGGUGGGACUUUGUCUGCUGCAGCCAAGCCGAAUGUCAAUCUGACUAGGAGGCCUGUUGAGCGUCCCUCCAGCCCUGCCACUGUCCCGUCUGGGAGAAGCACUCCAUCCGCUACCCCACCUCAAGUGACGCCCCCUUCCAGUCCCAGCUUCUACAGGCCUGUCUCCCCUUUCUCUCUGCCUCCAUCCAGCCCUGUCAUGUCGGGGGUUGUAACAGAUAUGAGUCCUGCUCCUCCAGGUCUCCUCCCUGCUCCUCCUGGUCCCCUCCCUGCUCCUCCUGGUUCCCUCCCUGCUCCUCCUGGUCCCCUCCCUGCUCCUCCUGGUCCCCUCCCUGCUCCUCCUGGUCCCCUCCCUGCUCCUCCUGGUCCCCUCCCUGCUCCUCCUGGUCCCCUCCCUGCUCCUCCUGGUCUCCUCCCUGCUCCUCCUCUUGCUGCUCCAGAUCAGUUCUGGCUGCCGGUGGAAAUGAGGAAGACCAUUCCCCAGCAGGACCAGCGCUGGAUUGCGUCCACGCUGUGGAGGAACCAGCGGCUGCGCCCGGACAUCCAGCUCUGGUAUGAGCCACCGGUUCCUGCCCUCAUCUACAACCAGGUCCCGUCACCAGACCGCUUUUUUCUGCACCCUGCCCCUCCUCCGAGUCCCUGACCAAGGAGCAGUGGUUGGUGGAGAGGAGGAACAAAGAUCACCUGUGUUAAAUCGAUAUGUUAUAUGUUCAAAUAAACAUGUUUAUAUACUAACAAAUG